GACGAACGCUGGCGGCGUGCUUAACACAUGCAAGUCGAACGGAAAGGCCCUGCUUUUGUGGGGUGCUCGAGUGGCGAACGGGUGAGUAACACGUGAGUAACCUGCCCUUGACUUUGGGAUAACUUCAGGAAACUGGGGCUAAUACCGGAUAGGAGCUCCUGCUGCAUGGUGGGGGUUGGAAAGUUUCGGCGGGUGGGGAGGGACUCGCGGCUUAUCAGCUUGUUGGUGGGGUAGUGGCAUACCAAGGCUUUGACGGGUAGCUGGACAGAGAGGGUGACCGGCCAACAUGGGACUGAGAUGCCGCCCAGACUCCUCCGGUGGGAAGCAGUGGGGAAUAUUGCACAAUGGGCGGAAGCCUGAUGCAGCAACGCCGCGUGCGGGAUGACGGCCUUCGGGUUGUAAACCGCUUUCGCCUGUGACGAAGCGUGAGUGACGGUAAUGGGUAAAGAAGCACCGGCUAACUACGUG
rnacentral:rRNA from 1 species